CUUUACCUACGGGGGGCAGCAGUGGGGAAUAUUGCACAAUGGGCGCAAGCCUGAUGCAGCGACGCCGCGUGCGGGAUGGAGGCCUUAGGGUUGUAAACCUCUUUUGUUCAAGGGCAAGGCACGGUCUUUGGCCGCGUUGAGUGGAUUGUUCGAAUAAGCACCGGCUAACUACGUGCCAGCAGCCGCGGUAAUACGUAGGGUGCACGCGUUAUCCGGAUUUAUUGGGCGUAAAGGGCUCGUAGGCGGUUCGUCGCGCCC
rnacentral:rRNA from 1 species